UUCAGCAGCCAUAUCACUCUGCAACUCACAACUAGGAACCCACUGAAGCUAAACAGCCUGGUCAGUACCUGGAUGGGAGACCUCCUGGGAAAACCUAAGGUUACUGCUGGAA
rnacentral:rRNA from 1 species